UAUAACCUGUCCGUAAAUCCCUCAAUAUCCGGUCGUUUAUACUACCCCCCAAAAAAAUUAACGCGCCAACCUUUUAUUUUUCCCUUAUUUCUCCUCCGCACCUCCUCUUAAACCGUUCCCCUUCCCCCAAAACCCUCACUCUGAGCGCUAAAUCAAACCUACCCACUCUCAUCCGUCUCUUUCUCUAUCUGCGUGAACUGGAGGAGAACAUGCUUUAGGAGAAGUAGAUAGUAAUUAUGGUGCGCCACUAGCCAAUGGUUUCCAUGUUGGUUGAAGGUGAGUGCUCAGAAAAGAAUGUCUGAAAAAAGAAAGCAAGCUUGGAGGUUGAGGUAAAGAGAACUGAGAUUCUUCCCAGCAUGUGUGCAUUGAGAAAAUCAAUAUUAGCAGGGGUCAUGAUGCUGUUGUUCUCAAAAGCAGCUGGGACGAUUAUGGAAUUUCCUAUGGGAAACCAACCACGAUGUCCAUGUUCAAAGGGUUAGGCUUCGGUCUAUUUUGCAGGUUCUGGCAUGGCUUUUGCAAUGAGAUAUCUGGUGGUAUCUCCAAUGUGCUAGUAGAGCAUGUUUACUUGUAUGAGCUAGUAAAAGACCAGCAGAAAGCUACGAGGAAAGACUAUUUUGAACAGAGCAAGAAGUUAAAGAAUAUGUUCCUGGCGUACGAGAAGGACUCUGCUGACAUGCAAUCUUGACGGUGAUACGAGCAUAUUCAAAAUCUGAAGUCUGAAGAGCCUGGACUUGAAGAAAAUAAUGAGCAAGUUGAAGCAACUGAAAAUCUUAAAGCACAAGUUGAAGCACAAGCGGAACCUAUUCUCUAUUUGUUAAGUGUAAUUUUUAAGAUGUUUUUUGUGUACAUGCUUUAACUUUGUUUGCUCUUUUGUUAGGAGACAAAUGUAAUGUCAUACAAUGUAGAUGAGUAUAUUUGUUUUUCAAUAUGAUACUAUAGUUCUUUGUAAUUAACUAUGAAAUCUUAAUGGAAUGAUGAUUGUUUGUAUGUC